ensembl:snoRNA
AGCACUUGUGUUUAAUUUAUAACAAAGCCUUACAGACACAGGUGCAAACAGUAAGUCCUCUUUUGCAACCCAGAACUCAUUGCUGAAUAUGAGAUUUUUGGUACACGUAAGAAGGAAUAUG